UACAGAGGGUGCGAGCGUUAAUCGGAAUUACUGGGCGUAAAGCGCGCGUAGGCGCUUUGCAAGUCGGGUGUGAAAUCCCCAGGCUUAACCCUGGGAACUGCAUUCGAGACUGCAUUGCUAGAGUAUGGGAGAGGGAAGUGGAAUUUCCGGUGUAGCGGUGAAAUGCGUAGAUAUCGGAAGGAACAUCAGUGGCGAAGCGACUUCCUGGACCAAUACUGACGCUCAUGUGCGAAAGCGUGGGGAGCAAACAGG
rnacentral:rRNA from 1 species